UGGGGAAUCUUGGACAAUGGGUGAGAGCCUGAUCCAGCCAUGCCGCGUGCAGGAAGAAGGCGUUAUGCGUUGUAAACUGCUUUUGCCAGGGGAUAAAAAGACCGUGCGCGGUUAAUUGAAGGUACCUGGUGAAUAAGCCACGGCUAACUACGUGCCAGCAGCCGCGAUAAUACGUAGGUGGCAAGCGUUGUCCGGAUUUAUUGGGUUUAAAGGGUGCGUAGGUGGCCCUGUAAGUCAGUGGUGAAAUAUCUCAGCUUAACUGAGAGGGUGCCAUUGAUACUGCAGGGCUUGAGUACAGAUGAGGUAGGCGGAAUUGACGGUGUAGCGGUGAAAUGCAUAGAUAUCGUCAAGAACACCGAUAGCGAAGGCAGCUUACCAAGCUGUAACUGACACUGAGGCACGAAAGUGUGGGGAUCAAACAGGAUUAGAUACCCAUGUAGUCCCUGAG
rnacentral:rRNA from 1 species